AAGCGGCAACAGCUCAAAUUUGAAAGCUGGCUCCUUCGGAGUCCGCAUUGUAAUUUGUAGAGGAUGAUUCGGCGAGGGCUCCCGCCUAAGUCCACUGGAACGUGGCGUCAUAGAGGGUGAGAAUCCCGUAUGUGGUGGGCUGCCUUAGCCAUGUGAAUCUCCUUCGACGAGUCGAGUUGUUUGGGAAUGCAGCUCUAAAUGGGAGGUAAAUUUCUUCUAAAGCUAAAUACCGGCCAGAGACCGAUAGCGCACAAGUAGAGUGAUCGAAAGAUGAAAAGCACUUUGGAAAGAGAGUUAAAAAGUACGUGAAAUUGUUGAAAGGGAAGGGCUUGCAACCAGACUUGUCCGCAGUUGCUCAGCCGGUCUCCUGACCGGCGUACUCUUCUGCGGCCAGGCCAGCAUCAGUUCGGGCGGUCGGAUAAAGACCUAGGGAAUGUAGCUCCUCUCGGGGAGUGUUAUAGCCCUGGGUGGAAUGCGGCCAGCCUGGACUGAGGAUCUCGCUUCGGCAAGGAUGCUGGCGUAAUGGUUGUAAGCCGCCCGUCUUGAAACACGGACCAAGGAGUCUAACAUCUAUGCGAGUGUUUGGGUGUCAAACCCAUACGCGUAAUGAAAGUGAACGGAGGUGGGAACCCGCAAGGGCGCACCAUCGGCCGAUCCUGAUGUCUUCGGAUGGAUUUGAGCAAGAGCAUAGCUGUUGGGACCCGAAAGAUGGUGAACUAUGCCUGAAUAGGGUGAAGCCAGAGGAAACUCUGGUGGAGGCUCGCAGCGGUUCUGACGUGCAAAUCGAUCGUCAAAUUUGGGUAUAGGGGCGAAA
rnacentral:rRNA from 1 species